AACCUUGAGUGAUCACAGUUUUUGAGAAUCAUGAUGAGGCAUUAAAGAAGAGGAGGAGUGUCUCAAGGGAGGUGAGCUGGAGGUGAUGCAAGGAUGUCUGAUCUGAAAGCAUGUUGUGGUCCGCUACACACAAGAGCAAAAGAAGAGCAGGAAGGAGCUCAGUGCCAAGACCAUAGCCACAGGAAGAAAACCAGCUCUUAGGGCUGCAGCUCUAAAGACAGGCCAGGUCAUUACAGGAACGUCUGCUCCCUUAGCCUUGCCAGACAGAGGAGGGUUAAGAAAGGAACUGCUGACCCUGAUAUGCAAACUGCCACGAGUGCUUCCUGCCUUUCUAUCAGCAUCAGAUGGCUAGCGAUGGAUGGCUGUAAGAUUGAUGUAAUUAACAUUUUAUUUUCAGGGCCACAGUGCUGGUUGGGUGCACCAGACAAAUCAACCAACAGAUUAAAGAGUGAUGGAGAAAGCUGUGUUUUGGGCCUCAUUUGGGAACAGAAUGGAAGAGCUGAGGGUGGAAGGGACCUCAGCAAGUCUUCUGAUCCAUGUUUCAACCUUCAUUUCCCCGAUAACCUCAAGGAGAGAGUUGCUUUUCCUGUUCUUCAAAUGAGUUCCUUGAAUUCACACUCUAUUUCUUUGAAUUUGCACAGACUGUUGAGGAACAGGCGGCAGGGUCACUCUACCUCUGCUCAGACAAGCCUGGAAAAGAAAAAUUUUACAUAGAAGACUGAGCUGGAAGAGGCCUGGGAACUUGGGAAUUCCCACUUCCACACUGCCCACUCUAGUUCUCAAGAGGCGGCAGCUAUGCUGCAGUACAGACCACUGAAUUUAGAUUCAGGAAUCUGGGUUUAUAUCUCACUCCUCCUCUUACUUGCAAGUCACUUACCACACCAGGCCUCGGUUUCCUGGACAAUAAAAUGGGGAUAACGUUGCCCCAUGUGGUUGUUGGUGGUCAUGAAAUUAUGCACACGAGCACGCCUUGUAAUCUAGGUUAGACCUGCACUAACCUAGAUUAGCUGACCAGGGUGGAAGGUGGGAGGGGCAGGCUUCAGUGUGUGACUUACCUAGAGGCCAAGGGGAGUCACCAUGGAUAGGGCAGCACUUGUAAGUCCUCUGCUCUCUCAAUGUGGCUCUGAGAAUCUCCAGGAAGAACUGGCUGGUUGAAUUCUCAACUCUACCAAGAAAGGUGUGCUGGAGACCAGGGUCAUAGACGUCUCCUUGUUGAUGUACGAAAAUCAGGAAGCCGUCUCGGGUCCUCUUUACCAGGACAUAGUGUAAUUAUUCAUCUUCUUCCCUGUCAGUUGGCACUGGAAAAUUUUGCUUCUUCUAAAAGGAACAAAUAUCUCUAGCUCUUGUUGCUCCAACAAGGUGUCUGGCUUGAUUCCUAAAGUAAAUAAAUAAAUAAAC
ensembl:lncRNA TRD-AS1 TRD antisense RNA 1